CCCUAUUAUUUAUGAGUGUUAAUUUUGUUCUUAGGUAGUAUUAGUUAUGUUCUUGAAACCUAAAGAAUUUGGCGGUAUUUUAUUCCGAUCAGAGGAAUCUGCCCCUUUAUCGAUAGUCCGCGUUGUACCUUACUUAAUUUUCUUGUUUGUAUACCGCCGUAUUUUGAUUAUCAUUUUAGUGUUUGUAAUUUUCUUGAUUCUUUAUUUGGUUAUAUUUCAGGUCAAGGUGCAGCUUUUAUUUAAGUGUGAGGUGGAUUACAUUGAUUUUUUGUUAUUUUUGGAUUGUUUAUUGUUAUUUUAUUUUCAUGAAAUUGGAUUUGAUUGUAAUAUUUUGGGAUGAAGAUUGUUCUUGUGAUAUUGGUUCUAAGAUAUGUACACAUCGCCCGUCGCUCUCGUUUUGUUAUUAAUGAGAUAAGUC
rnacentral:rRNA from 1 species